UACGUAGGGGGCUAGCGUUGUCCGGAAUCAUUGGGCGUAAAGAGCGUGUAGGCGGCCCGGUAAGUCCGCUGUAAAAGUCAAAGGCUCAAACCUUUGGAAUGUCCAGUGGAUACUGGCCGGGCUAGAGUCCGGAAGAGGCGAGUGGGAACUCCUGAUGUAGCGGUGGAAUGACGCAGAUAUCAGGAAGAACACCGACGGCGAAGGCAGCUCGCUGGGACGGUACUGACGCUGAGGCGCGAAAGCGUGGGGAGCGAACAGG
rnacentral:rRNA from 1 species